GAAGAUGGAAGUACUCU
rnacentral:miRNA from 1 species